GCUACACACCUGAUCAUGGCUUGUUAAAGUUGUUCACAUUUCUCCGCUUAUGAAAACCUCGUCGGAACUGAUGGAGGAAUUUAGUAAUGUACUGGAGGAUAAAAAGACAGACAACACGACUGUCAAAAAUGAGGAAGACAGCUGGGACAUUUUAUGCCACAGAUUUAAUGGAUCGACAAGGAUGAAAGAAAAAAGGAACCCAAAUCAAAUGAAGGUGUGCUGGAAAAACGUAAAGCGAAAGCGAAAGCAAAAAAAGGAUGCAGCAGAGGCGAGUGCUAUUUCAGACCGGAGGGGGCCUCCGUCCAAGAGAAUUGAUCCUCUCUCCCAGAAGAUUUGAGAGAUGGUUCCCCAGCAGUUUGCCCCUCUCCUUAACCCUUAUGAUGACGACGGACAACUCGGCCCAAGGAUAUUUAGUAAACAUAAAUAACUGGGACUCCUGAAACAACCAGCAAACCAGGCUGUCGUAAUGUGAAUCAGUGGAUGUAAAUAAUCUAGCUAGCUAAAGCAUUUACUGCAAAUUGAAUGUACAUGUUUGGAAGCUUGCCUUGCUGAUAUUUGCCAUGCAAUGCCGAAAGAUUAAAUAACGUAGUUAUUAUGUUCUUGCUUAUUGUGCAGUGGAGGAUACAAAUACCUGUAUUGUAACCUGUACAUUUAAUAUAUUCACUGAUCAUGUACUCUACCUUGGCAAAUAAAGGUGCAGUUCAGGUAUGAA